ACCGCAAUUAUUGUUGACUUCAAAAUGCAAACAAGAACUUUAGACAGUGAUCCCUAUCAGCCGGUGAGGCCGGGCACAGAUGCCGGGCGCUGUUUUUGCCGUUGCUUAGCAAUGGAAAAUGAACUGUUCCUGUCUGUUAUCACUGGAGGUGGAGGUAGGACAAUGAGCUUUAUUGGACUGAAUAGUAAAGUUUGAACUUUUGCCGGGAGUGUCCCUCCAAAACUAUCAUCAAUCAGACAGAAUAUCUGCAAAUACCAAUUCACA
rnacentral:lncRNA from 1 species